rnacentral:rRNA from 1 species
CGUGUAGGCGGUCAGGCAAGUGGGAUGUGAAAUGCCCCGGCUCACCCGGGGACCUGCAUCCCAAACUGCCCGGCUUGAGUAUGGGAGAGGAUGGAGGAAUUCCUGGUGUAGCGGUGAAAUGCGUAGAUAUCAGGAGGAACACCGGUGGCGAAGGCGUCCAUCUGGCCCAAUACUGACGCUGAGGCGCGAAAGCUAGGGGAGCGAACGGGAUUAGAUACCCCGGUAGUCCUAGCCGUAAACGGUGAUCACUAGGUGUUGGGGGCAUCGACCCCUCCAGUGCCGCAGCUAACGCAUUAAGUGAUCCGCCUGGGGAGUACGGCCGCAAGGUUGAA